UAUUUAAAUUCUCCAUUAAAUUUUUAAUUAACGUAUCUAAUUAAUACAUCUAAAAUAACCCACUACUAAACUUUCAAUUAAUGUAUUUAAAUAUUCCCCCUGUCAUUUAUAAUUCUCACCAUUUUAUUUCUAAUUAAUUUAUUACUAUCCUUUACUUUUCCUCCACAAGACUUCUAAUUAAUCCAUCUUCGUCAAGUUUAAUUUGUUUAUUUAUUUUAAUUAUUUUGUAUGUACAAUUUUGAA
rnacentral:lncRNA from 1 species